rfam:Triticum aestivum genome assembly, contig: Triticum_aestivum_CS42_TGACv1_scaffold_392775_5AS
GUAGUAUGCCCUCCGUCCCACAAUUCUUGUCAUACAUUUGUUUAGAUACGGAUGUAUCUAACACUAAAAUGUAACUAGAUACAUCCGUAUUUAGAAAAAUUUAAGACAAGAAUUUUCGGACGGAGGGAGUACAAA